rnacentral:rRNA from 1 species
GUAGUCCACGCCCUAAACGAUGCGAACUGGAGGUUGGGUGCACUUUGGCGCUCAGUCUCGAAGCUAACGCGUUAAGUUCGCCGCCUGGGGAGUACGGUCGCAAGACUGAAACUCAAAGGAAUUGACGGGGGCCCGCACAAGCGGUGGAGUAUGUGGUUUAAUUCGAUGCAACGCGCAGAACCUUACCUGGCCUUGACAUGCACGGAAUCCUGCAGAGAUGUGGGAGUGCCUUCGGGAACCGUGACACAGGUGCUGCAUGGCUGUCGUCAGCUCGUGUCGUGAGAUGUUGGGUUAAGUCCCGCAACGAGCGCAACCCUUGUCCUUAGUUGCCAGCACGUAAAGGUGGGAACUCUAAGGAGACCGCCGGCGACAAGCCGGA